GUUGAACGCUGGCGGCAUGCCUUACACAUGCAAGUCGAGCGGCAGCGCGGGGGCAACCCUGGCGGCGAGCGGCGCACGGGUGAGUAAUACAUCGGAACGUGUCCUUUCGUAGGGGAUAACCAGUCGAAAGACUGGCUAAUACCGCAUGAGAUCUCACGAUGAAAGCGGGGGACCGCAAGGCCCCGCGCGAUUGGAGCGGUCGAUGUCGGAUUAGCUAGUUGGCGGGGAAAAGCCCACCAAGGCGACGAUCCGUAGCUGGUUUGAGAGAACGAUCAGCCACACUGGAACUGAGACACGGUCCAGACUCCUACGGGAGCAGCAGUGGGGAAUAUUGGACAAUGGGCGCAAGCCUGAUCCAGCAAUUCCGCGUGGGUGAAGAAGGCCUGGUGUAAG
rnacentral:rRNA from 1 species